rnacentral:rRNA from 1 species
CUACCACAUCCAAGGAUGGCAGCAGGCGCGCAAAUUACCCAAUCCCGACACGGGGAGGUAGUGACAAUAAAUAACAAUACGGGGUUCUUUCGGAUCUCGUAAUUGGAAUGAGUACAAUNUAAAUCUCUUAACGAGGAACAAUUGGAGGGCAAGUCUGGUGCCGGCAGCCGCGGUAAUUCCAGCUCCAAUAGCGUAUAUNAAAGUNGUUGCAGUUAAAAAGCUCGUAGUUGAAUUUCGGGAUCAAAUUGUCGGUCGUGCCUCGGUACGCACUGGCGCUAUNGGUUCCUCCCUUCUGAAGAACCGCGAUGUCAUAAAUUUGGUGUCACGGGGAAUCAGGACUGUUACUUUGAAAAAAUUAGAGUGUUUAAAGCAGGCUCGCGCUUGAAUACAUNAGCAUGGAAUAAUGAAAUAGGACGUUUGAUUCUAUUUUGUCGGUUCCUAGGUUCGACGUAAUGAUUAAUAGGGAUANGUGGGGGCAUUAGUAUUCAAUUGUCAGAGGUGAAAUUCUUGGAUUAAUUGAAGACUANCUACUGCGAAAGCAUUUGCCAGGGAUGUUUCAUUAAUUCAGGACGAAAGUAGGGGAUCGAAGACGAAUAGAUACCGUCGUAGUCUUACCCAUAACAAGCCCAAUUAGAUAUCGAUUAAUGUAAUUUUUUAAUGACUCAUUCGCCCCUUACGGGAAACCAAAGUGUUUGGUUCCGGGGAAUAAUGUUCCCAAGCCUGAAACUUAAAGAAUUGAACGAAGGGCCACCACCAGGGUUGGAGCUUCCGGCUUAAUUGACUCAACACGGGGAACUCACCAGGUCCAGACAUAGUAAGAAUGACCAGAUUGAGAGCUCUUUCUUGAUUCUAUGGUGUUUGGUGCAUGCCCGUUCUUAGUUGGUGGAGUGAUUUGUCUGGUUAAUUCAGUUAACGAACGAGACCUUAACCUGCUAAAUAGCUAGGCUUAGCUUCGGUUAGGCCGUCAGCUUCUUAGAGGGACUAUCGGUGUUUAACCGAUGGAAGUUUGAGGCAAUAACAGGUCUGUGAUGCCCUUAGAUGUUCUGGGCCGCACGCGCGCUACACUGAUGAAGUCAACGAGUUCUUAUCCUUUAUCGGAAGAUAUGGGUAAUCUUUUGAAAAUUCAUCGUGCUGGGGAUAGAGCUUUGCAAUUAUUGCUCUUAAACGAGGAAUCCCUAGUAAGCACAAGUCAUCAGCUUGUGCUGAUUACGU